rnacentral:misc_RNA from 1 species
GCGUCAGUGUAGGAGACAUCUUUUCCUGUCUGCGCUCGGCAUCGGUCACGUCAGGGUCUCGCAUUGAACCUGGGCUGCGCCGGCCAGAACGAGCGUUGCCAUAGCCUAAUUAAUGCAAAUCUUGCUUGCAUUGUGUGGGGUGCACUAAUCGAGCAAGGCAAGGAUGAGAUCAGGGUCAGCUUUGACGUAACGACCAUCGGUAGUGUGAAGAGAUGCAACUCGGAGACACAUCAGUACCCGGAUGCUGGUCAGUCAGCCACCUGCCACACCAGUGUGUGCAGUGACAACCGUUAGGGGAACUGUCAACGAGGACGUGUCUGCAAGUUCUCAUUCGAAAAAUUGCCCGCCGCUAAACAACGGCUCCCCGGAGACGACGUGCAAACGACUUAAUCUGCGGCAGUGCUGUAGGGGCUGCUGCGAGGCGGCGGUGACGGCGUGUCCGCUGUCUGUCGGGGCCGUUGCGUGGUGAAGGUUUGUGAAUCAGUAUACCAGCCGCUGCCGAUGACGUCGUGUGGUGAGGCGAUCGCCGCGCGCGCGCGCGAGUGAUACAUGCAGCGACGAGGCGUGUCGUCUGUGUCGAUACGUAGUGACAUUGCGGCUUAGUAAUAUGUGGAGAUGUCUGCCGGCUGCUGAAGCCUGGCGCGCUGUCACGUCUGCAUCGUGGAGGAGCGAGGCGGCGGCGUGGCAACACUGCAGCAUAGUGCUCGAAUGAUGAGAGAAGUGGGAGAGAGGCAGUAAGAGAGCGAGUGUGUGUAUGCGACAGAGAGAA